rnacentral:rRNA from 1 species
UACAGAGGGUGCAAGCGUUGUUCGGAAUUAUUGGGCCUAAAGCGUCCGUAGCCGGUCAUGCAAGUCCUCCGUUAAAUCCAGCCGCUCAACGGUUGGGCUGCGGAGGAUACUACGUGGCUAGGAGGCGGGAGAGGCAAGCGGUACUCAGUGGGUAGGGGUAAAAUCCUUUGAUCCAUUGAAGACCACCAGUGGCGAAGGCGGCUUGCCAGAACGCGCUCGACGGUGAGGGAUGAAAGCUGGGGGAGCAAACCGG